CAGUAGCCACGGUAAUACGAAGGGUGCAAGCGUUACUCGGAAUUACUGGGUGUAAAGCGUGCGUAGGUGGUGGUUUAAGUCCGUUGUGAAAGCCCUGGGCUCAACCUGGGAAUUGCAGUGGAUACUGGGUCACUAGAGUGUGGUAGAGGAUAGUGGAAUUUCCGGUGUAGCAGUGAAAUGCGUAGAGAUCGGAAGGAACAUCUGUGGCGAAGGCGACUAUCUGGGCCAACACUGACACUGAGGCACGAAAGCGUGGGGAGCAAACAGGAUUAGAUACCCCCGUAGUCCCUGUCUCUUAUAC
rnacentral:rRNA from 1 species